rnacentral:lncRNA from 1 species
AGAUUCUCUCUGAGCCAAAUGGGUUAAGGGAGAAGUGAUGGAGGCGAUUCGAAGCUGUCUUUCCUACCCUCUUCAGUACCUCUUCCAGUGAUGUGAAGUUAAAACCAGAGAUGGAGUCUCCCUGUGUUGCCCAGUCUGGUCUUGAGAGCUUCAGUUUUAAAUAAUAAAUUGUUCUCGUCUUUCUAAAUUUCAAUCAAAACACAGGAUGUAUUUUAAAAGGGAAAAACUGUGAGGUAAAAGAAUAGGGUGAGGGGAGGAAAGAAAUAACUUCAUAGAGAAAAAUUCAAUGAACCCUUGGAAGAAAAUAUAUGGAAGUAUGGUUACUGACUUGGGAAAGAAGAGAAAGGUACAAUGUAACUGCACAUAGAAGCCAGUCCUGAAAAGAAGCAAGCCGGCUGAAGUUAUCUGCAACUCAGAAGCACUUGGUACCACCCAAGGGGAGAUAAGAGGAGAUCUCAUCAGAGGUGCCUGAAAAGCACCUCAGCCGAAGGCCUCACAUAGAGAGACCUAAGAAUGAAGGCACCUGGACUAGGAAUGUGAAUAUGUGAAAGAACAUGACCGGCCAGGGGCCCUGAGUUAUUGAAUGCAACCCCCUUCAGACACUGCAACACACAGGCUGUGCACCAAGCCUAGUAUGGGAAGGACAGCUUUUCUUCAUGAGGCCUGCCAGGUAAAGCCAGCUAUGAAACAGGAAGUUGACCUUCACCAGACACUGAACCUACUGGCACCUUGAUCUUGGACUUCCCAGCCUUACAAACUGUAAGAAAUAAAUGUCUGUUGUUCAUAAGCCA